rnacentral:rRNA from 1 species
UACGGAGGGUGCAAGCGUUACUCGGAAUUACUGGGCGUAAAGCGCACGCAGGCGGUCUGUCAAGUCGGAUGUGAAAUCCCCGGGCUCAACCUGGGAACUGCAUUCGAAACUGGCAGGCUAGAGUCUUGUAGAGGGGGGUAGCAUUCCAGGUGUAGCGGUGAAAUGCGUAGAGAUCUGGAGGAAUACCGGUGGCGAAGGCGGCCCCCUGGACAAAGACUGACGCUCAGGUGCGAAAGCGUGGGGAGCAAACAGG